UUUGUUUUUCCCAGAAUUCCCUUCACAGCUCUGUAGUCUGUACUGUUAAGUUCUUUCCCUGAGAGAGAGAGAGAGAGAGGGAAAUAUUGGAGGUGAAGAGAAGAAGCUACAGAUUAAGAAGAGGUUUUCAAUUCUGAAAGAUGUUGCGUGGUUGGUUGCCUGAAAGUUUAUCUGGUCUAUUCAAGUCCUAUGAAGCUGCAAAUGGUUACCAGUUUGAAUACCCCCAGAAAAAAUUGGGAGCUGGUUUGAUUCUGCGAGCUCUUGGUAUGAUUUUGAUACCCGUAUAUAUGGUUUACCUUCUUCUUCUUGAUAUGCAUGUCUUGCCUGCUAUAGCUUUUGGGGUUAGCAUUACUGGGUUCUUCAAUGUUUUCGGCUUUUUUUGUGUGGUUCCUGCGAUAGAGUAUAUCUUCAAUACCAAAGUUUCAAGGCACAAAAAGAUAAUCCGUUACUUGGUGGAGUAUGGGAUCUUAUUCAUUGGCCUAGGCGAGUCUCAUAUGAUUUUCACUGCCAUAACCAUAGUAAUGAGUCUGGUAUGUUAUAUUGGUGGAUUCUUUCUUAGGGACCCUACAGGCUUUACCAAAGGAGCAGUCAAUGGUUUUAUUGAUCUAUUGUUGGUCGAAUGGUUCUACAUAGAAUUUUGUUGGCUCAACAUUGUUGCUACUAUUGUAGCAUGUGGUUUGUGUUUCUUUGCUCGUUUUACAGAAGAAAAACUAAGAGAACACUGAAGUUGCUGGUUUGUUGGAAAUGUUGUUCUUUGGAAGAAUUUGGGAUUAGAGGUAAAAGAUGUGAAUGAGUGUGUUAGUGCUUAGUAGGAUAGUUAACUAAGAAUUUGGUUAUUUCAGUUUAGCUUUUGAUGUAGUAGUUAAAAUGUAAGGGAUUCAGAUAGUAUUAAGCUUUUCAUUGAAGUAUCUAUUGAACUUUAUUAUCAAUCAAUCAACAUAUUUAUUAGUA